rnacentral:lncRNA from 1 species
CAGAGACUUCUUCCCUCUUCACUUGGUGGGACAGGAAGCUGCAGACAGUGCGCAUGCCGGCACAAGUGCGCAUGCCGGCACUCACCUGGCUACCUAUUUUUCCUUUCUCCUCAGCCUGAGUCCCCAACGGUGCCAGCCUUGUUCCAGGUGGGACUUCUCCUUCUGGGUAUCUGAAUGAUUCUAAUCCCAGUGAAGUUGAUGAGGAAGAUCAGCCGUCACAGACGCCCAUCUCACUUUCAGAAUUAUCGUGUGUAGCUCUGCGGAACCCCUACAGUCCAUCAAAUACAGCAUGACUUAGUCCAUCCGGGAACUUCUACAGCAUGGAUCCAGU